rnacentral:rRNA from 1 species
AAUUACCAGCACCAGCUAAAAACUCAAAAGACUUGACGGUGCUCCACCCUACCUAGAGGAGCCUGUCCUAUAAUCGAUACCCCACGAUCCACCCGACCCUUACUAGCCCACCAGCCUAUAUACCGCCGUCGAAAGCAUAUCCUGCAAAGGACUGGUAAUUGACUCAACAGUCUCCACUAAAACGUCAGGUCAAGGCAUAGCUCAUGUAACGGCAGAGAUGGGCUACAUUUUUUAUUUAUAAAAAACACGAAAAAUAAUAUGAAACUUAUUAUUUAAAGGCGGAUUUAGCA